CACAUCAGCGUACUUUGCUGAUGUGGCAACAAAUCGCGUCCACGAAAGCGCGAUUUGUGUCCACAUCAGCAAAGCGCGCUAACGUGG
rfam:Gossypium hirsutum cultivar TM-1 chromosome 21, whole genome shotgun sequence